CGGCCAGAGACGCACAAGAAGCUGCAGGCUCUGCUUUAAACCAGACUACCGACACAGAACCAGAGCUGGAGGACGUGAUGAAACUGUUUGAGCUUUUAAAACAAAAAAACUCCAACCAGACGGUUCAGAGUGAAGCCAGAGAACGUCUGAAGAACAUCGUGGAGGAGGCGGAGAAGAUGAAGAAACAGGUGGAGGACAAACUGCAACAGAUACAAGAUCUGGAGCAGAAGAUCCAGAAGCUGAUCCAGAACAAAGAGAUCAAAGCGGCUGAGGUCUUCGUGUUGUUGGACACAGUGGAUUCACUUCGACGGGAAAUCUCCAAACGGGCCGAAGGAUACAUCACCUGUACCUCCUAAACACAGCUGACAGGGCUGGAGAGUAACUAGUUACAUGUAAUCUAAUUACAAAAUGAAGGUAACUGUAAUCUGUUACAGUUACUGGGAGAAAAUGUGUAAUUAAAUUACAGAUAUCUAUGAAAAUGUUC
rnacentral:lncRNA from 1 species